rnacentral:lncRNA from 1 species
CAGCUCUGCAGUCUUUGCCCUGCCCCUGUUUCCAGUUUCCCUGGCGAGCAUCCUCAGGAGGGGCCCUGGGACUGAUGGAGGUUGGAGGAGAAAGUCACCUGUGUGCCCCAGUGGGUUAGGUGGGUGGUGGGCCAUUGUAGCGCAGCAUGAGCGUGAAGGAGCGGGCGAAGUUGUUGGCCAGGGUGCAGCUGCGGUCCUCUUCCCUGAUUGGGAGCAGGAACAGCAGGAGGAGGAACAGCAGCAGAAGCAGCUGCAGUGGGAGCGCCACACAGCACGCCCUCCGGAAGAGGGAGCCCAGUCCUCGCCACCGCCGAGUCUGCGGAACCAACACAGCACAGAUACCUCUGAUACUCCUGGAUGGUAGCGAUGACACUAUCAGAGAGUGGCUUCAGGUUGUGAGGGAAGACGAUGAGCUCCUUCAGCUGGGCUUGCAGCCGGUCCACCCGGGGCUCCUCCGAGGCCAGCGCCGCCCGUGUUGCCU